AAGACUAUACUUUCAGGGAUCAUUCCCACAGUAUGCUACUAGAAGUUUCUCUCAUAGAGGACCUGAAACCACGCGGAAGAGUUAGAGCAUCCUCUACUGAGCAUGAAGGUGGUUCUAGGUAUAGCUCCUGCAACUGCCUUUUACUACUGGUAAUCAUUCUUCUCUUCCUUUGGAAGAGGAAGAGGGAGAUGAUGCCAUCUGAGUGGU